rnacentral:rRNA from 1 species
GACGAACGCUGGCGGCGUGCUUAACACAUGCAAGUCGAACGGAAAGGCCCUGCUUUUGUGGGGUGCUCGAGUGGCGAACGGGUGAGUAACACGUGAGUAACCUGCCCUUGACUUUGGGAUAACUUCAGGAAACUGGGGCUAAUACCGGAUAGGAGCUCCUGCUGCAUGGUGGGGGUUGGAAAGUUUCGGCGGUUGGGGAUGGACUCGCGGCUUAUCAGCUUGUUGGUGGGGUAGUGGCUUACCAAGGCUUUGACGGGAAGCUGGCCUGAGAGGGUGACCGGCCACAUUGGGACUGAGAUACGGCCCAGACUCCUACGGGAGGCAGCAGUGGGGAAUAUUGCACAAUGGGCGGAAGCCUGAUGCAGCAACGCCGCGUGCGGGAUGACGGCCUUCGGGUUGUAAACCGCUUUCGCCUGUGACGAAGCGUGAGUGACGGUAAUGGGUAAAGAAGCACCGGCUAACUACGUG